rnacentral:lncRNA from 1 species
AGUUGGCUUCUUUGUUCCAUAGAUUUUCUAUGCCACAGGCAAUAUUAUUGUUCUUGGAAAGUUCAUUAUUUUUUUAAAUUACCUUACUCUCAGAAAGGGAUUUUUUUGAAGGAUUCUGUCAUAUAUCUUUGGAAAACAGAAAAUCAGUAAUAUGUAUAUUUUUAUGUAUGUUCACUGGCACUAAAAAAAAAAAAAAAAAGAAAAGAAAAAAAAGAGAAAAAAAAAAGCUUCACUCUGUCCUUUGGGUAGUUGCUGAGGUUAAUUGUCCAGGUUGAGAAAUGUGCUUCUGCUAACAUCCUUCUCUGUCCACACUCUAUUUCUAAGUACAUAUAGGCAUAUAUAGGAAGAUAUAUUCAACACACUUUAAGAAAAAAGUAUGUCCACCAUCCACAUGAUAACCACAAUGAUACUCCACAAAUUACAUGACUUUAAGCUUCAAGCAACUUCUAACUGAUUCAUUCAUUUAUAGCCUUGCCCUCUUCUUUCCCUUAAAUUUGGCCCAGCACAAAGACCCAAGCCACCCUUAUACCUCCCUAAGACUUAAGCCAGCACCAGACUUCAGAAGGUUUUCUGAAGACAACUGACUUGCUAUCCCUGCAUGACCCUAGCAUGGUCCUGCAAACACAAGAGACUAAUUAUAAUUCUCCUCCACUAAUUGCCUGGGUCACAGGUCAUUGGGCCAAGGCCAUGAUUCUUAUGCUUACGAACCACUAAUGCUAACCUACUAGAUUAAAUCCUGAACUGAAAGUUAAAAGAAGCCAUUUAGCAUGUGAAACUUCUUGGAGUAAGAAGUUUCUGUCCCGGCUGCCUUUGCAAACAGGUUUGCUUUCACCACUUAUCUCCUUGAAAAUCUUUGAAGGCCUUUUUUUUUUAAGUAGAAAAGGAGAUGAAAGCAUUAUAUUAUGUAACCAAAGAUUAUAUUGUAUCUAAGAUACCAAAUUUUUUAAGGGCAGGGAAGGAGCAAGCAUUAGUGCCUCUUUGGUAAAUUAUCCAAAGACAGACUGAAGGACUUUUCUGAUGAUUGACUUAGAAGACUUUGUGGGGAGGGGUUGUCUCACAAUAUACAUAUUUAGAAGUGUUGAGAAUAAUUUGGGGGGAAAUGGGAUUAUAGUGUCCUUCACUAACUGAUUUUAUAAGCAGAACUAGCUUUCCUUUUUUUUUUUUUUAAAGUAGUUACAAAGCAAAUUCUUAAAGCUCCAUCUUUGCAUGGUUAGAAAUGGAGCUGGUCUUGGCCACUGUGUUUACUAGUGCCCAUGUUAGCUUAUUUGAAGAUGUGAAGCCCUUGAUAAGAAGGGGUACAUUUAAAGGAUUAGAUUUUUGCACUAGAAGGAGGGCAGGCAGAAACCCUCAUUUCUGCCCAGUUUGGACAGCACAAAAAGUUCUCUGCAGUUUAAGGCAGAAAGUUGAAAUAUAUUGUAAAUGAGUAUUUGUAUCCAUGUUUCAAAACUGAAUUCUAUAUAUAGAUGUAAUGUGUUCUGAUAGCUUUACCUUUCUCUGCACCUUUAUAUUUGGUUCCAGGUCAUAUCUGAUGCCAUGUACUUGUAAGAGAGGUUGCAGUUACAUUUUUGGAUGCUCUCUCAGAAUGGAUAAGACACCUGGAUUGAUCAGAUAACUGAGAUCUCUUCCCUUCUUGGGCCUGGUGUUGAGGCCUUGCAAAGGGGUGGAAGAGGAAAGGGUAGGGUACAUGAUGUAUUGCACUUUACUAGCUUAAGACGGAUGAAUGUGGAAAGGGUGGUGAAAUUUCAUUGAAAAUGCCUAGGAAUUGCAAUAGGGAGAAAUCCAGAUGUGGGGCCAGGUGCCCACCCAAAGGACUGGCCAGCAGCCUCUUCAUGGGAUCUGAGGCAUUGGGAAAAGGAAGGCUAUUUCCUUGGUUUUCACCAUCCUUGUUAGAGAAGGGCAGUUGCCUGGUCUUGGGAACCUGGAGCAAACGCUCCUUCUGUCACAUCAAUUCUUUCCCCUGCAAUUGAGGUGCUCUUGCUACUGGGUGUCCGUGUGCUCUAAUUCUGGUUCUGGAUAUGUUCUGUAAAGAUUUUGAUAAUUGCUAAUGUAUUUUUCUCUGUUAAAAAUUUGUUAGUGUGUUAGAAGUCAUAUCUCUGUAGGUACAGAUCCUUUGCUACCCAUGAGUAGAGGGAUUUUUUUUCUUCAAUUAAGAGUUUGACCCUGGGGUCUGUUGCCCAGAGCCCAUCCAGAAAAAAAAAUCCACAUUUGUCACAAUUUUUCUGAAAUUUCAGUCAAGGUAACAGAUCGCUGGGAGUUCUCUUUACCCCCCCAAAAAAGCAGAUAAUUGAAUUUAGCAGGUGGUGUUUUAGAGCAAAAAACAAAACAGCCUUUGACCCAGCUUUAAUAUGACCCAAUUUAAUCUGGCCAGGAAGCAGGUAAUGUGUAUUAAUUGGCUUCCAAUCCUGGUUGAGUGUAGCAAGGUUCUACUUUGUUUCCUAGUUCCUUUUGUUACAUGGCCUUUCACAGAAAGGAUUGACUGGGUUUGCAGUAUAUCUUAUGGCCUUAGCACCUAUUGCUAACUGUCCUGAAGGGAAUUGCCUAUGGGGUUGUCCUAUAAGCCACUUCUAUCAUUAAAAGCAGCCACCAAUGGAAUCUCCCAGGUUUGAAAAAAAAAAAAAAAAACAGAUGGUCCUUUACCAUUCAUUGACACACAUCCCUGCUUUCCUGUAGACAGAUUGACUGGACAUUGAUUAGGGAAUACAUGGCAAAUGACAUGCUUACACUACCCUGGAGAUUAAUUUGGCAGUAGGAGGGAAUAGACAAUGUAACCAAGAAUGUAAUGUAAUUCUUAUAGAGAUAAGAAUUAAAUCUGGAUGUGGAGAGAGCAAAGAGAGAAAGCAUUCAAUUUUUUUUUCAAAAGAAACCAAUUUAUUUUGCUUGAAACUUCUUUCGCUGGGGCUUCAGUUCUCACAGCGGCUCUUGGUCUCCACUGGGCAGCAGGACCAGCCCCAAGCGCUAGUGUUCUGUUCUCUUUUUGUAAUCUUGGAAUCUUUUGUUGCUCUAAAUACAAUUAAAAAUGGCAGAAACUUGUUUGUUG